rnacentral:rRNA from 1 species
GACGAACGCUGGCGGCGUGCCUAAUACAUGCUAGUAGAACGCAGUUGCGAACGGGUGAGUAACGCGUAGGUAACUGCCUCAUAGCGGGGGAUAUAUAUUGGCAACGAUAGCUAAUACCGCUUAUUGUGAGAUGGACCUGCGUUGUAUUGGCUAGUUGUUGAGGGAAAUGAGCACCAAGGUGACGAUACAUAGCCGACCUGAGAGGGUGAUCGGCAGCGUGGGGACUGAGAGACGGCCAGGACUCCUUCUGGAGGCAGCAGUUGGGAAUCUUCGGCAAUGGACGGAAGUCUGACCGUGCAACGCCACGUGAGUGAAGAAGGUUUUCGGAUCGUAAAGCUCUGUUGUUAGAUAUGCGUUAACUAACCAGAAAGGGACGGCUAACUACGUGCCAGCAGCCGCGGUAAUAC